AGUGAACGCUGGCGGUAGGCCUAACACAUGCAAGUCGAACGGCAGCACAGUAAGAGCUUGCUCUUACGGGAGGCGAGUGGCGGACGGGUGAGGAAUACAUCGGAAUCUACUUUUUCGUGGGGGAUAACGUAGGGAAACUUACGCUAAUACCGCAUACGACCUACGGGUGAAAGCAGGGGAUCUUCGGACCUUGCGCGAUUGAAUGAGCCGAUGUCGGAUUAGCUAGUUGGCGGGGUAAAGGCCCACCAAGGCGACGAUCCGUAGCUGGUCUGAGAGGAUGAUCAGCCACACUGGAACUGAGACACGGUCCAGGCUCCUACGGGAGGCAGCAGUGGGGAAUAUUGGACAAUGGGCGCAAGCCUGAUCCAGCCAUACCGCGUGGGUGAAGGAGGCCUUCGGGUUGUAAAGCCCUUUUGUUGGGAAAGAAAAGCAGCAGGUUAAUACCCCGCUGUUCUGACGGUACCCAAAGAAUAAGCACCGGCUAACUUCGUG
rnacentral:rRNA from 1 species